UAGGCAACCGUGGUAAAAUGUC
rnacentral:miRNA from 1 species